rnacentral:rRNA from 1 species
UACGUAGGGUGCAAGCGUUAAUCGGAAUUACUGGGCGUAAAGCGUGCGCAGGCGGUUAUGUAAGACAGGUGUGAAAUCCCCGGGCUUAGCUCGGAACGGUCAAGUGAUACUGUCGUGCUAGAGUACAGAAGGGGCAACUGGAAUUCUCGGUGUAGCGGUGAAAUGCGUAGAUAUCGAGAGGAACACCUGCGGCGAAGGCGGGUUGCUGGGCUGACACUGACGCUGAUGCGCGAAAGCUAGGGGAGCGAACGGG